rnacentral:rRNA from 1 species
AUGUCAAAUCAUCAUGCCCCUUAUGUCUUGGGCUACACACGUGCUACAAUGGGGCAUACAGCGUGGUGCAAAGCAGCGAUGCGGAGCGAAACACGAAAAGGCCUCUCAGUUCGGAUUGCAGGCUGCAACCCGCCUGCAUGAAGUUGGAAUCGCUAGUAAUCGCGAAUCAGCAUGUCGCGGUGAAUACGUUCCCGGGCCUU